rnacentral:rRNA from 1 species
UACGAAGGGGGCUAGCGUUGCUCGGAAUCACUGGGCGUAAAGCGCACGUAGGCGGCUUUCUAAGUCAGGGGUGAAAUCCUGGAGCUCAACUCCAGAACUGCCUUUGAUACUGGGAGCUCGAGUCCGGAAGAGGUGAGUGGAACUCCGAGUGUAGAGGUGAAAUUCGUAGAUAUUCGGAAGAACACCAGUGGCGAAGGCGGCUCACUGGUCCGGUACUGACG